AAAAAUUUGCAACCUCUAUAUCAAAUGUAUAAUUGUGUUUCUCCUUAUUACAAAAAAGAAAAACUUUGUGUACACCUUAGUUGUGAACCUCGUUUUAGCUAACAUUCUGGUGCCACUUUCAUUAAGGCAAACUUGAAAUUGAACACUACUAUCUUGGCACAAAAAGAAACAAAAAUAGUACAAAUACAGGCACUCCAAUUCAAUUACAGGGAGACAAUUGACUUGUAGUAUCAUUUUACUCAAAUUUACAAAUUGAAACAGUCACAUUUACAAAUGCUCAUUUUCAAUAUAAAAUUUGAUAAUCAGGAACUGCCGAAAAUUUGUGCAUUAGGUCCACAGGAGAUUGCUUGACUUUCAUAGAAUUCAUGAUUCAUUUUCCAUUCAUACGAGUAGGAGUUCUUGCCACAAGAAAAGAAGACAAAACCAGAUGAUAUGAGACAGUAGGGGAUCAACUGAACCAAAUCAUAGCAUUCAUACACACAUAACACAAAGAUCCGAACAUUAAGGUUAAGAACAUGAACCCAACUGUACUAAAUCACAACAAACAACCGGCAACUACAAACAAGCAGAACUCAUGGCAACCAUAAUCAAAAUUAAGAAGAACUGAAUUCCAAUUUAUUAUUUUGCAUACAACCAGUUCAAAAUUUGAAAUUUCAGAAACAUACCUAUUAGCAAAAAUAACUGAAAAUAUCAAGCAAAGCUCUUGAGAUGGGAGAAGAGAUUCAACGAUAAUAACAGCAGCUUCACAGACCAGCCAAAUAAAUCCAAAUCUCAACUGAAAAUUGGACAGAAAAUCCUAAAUGCCAAAAGUUCGGAACCCAAACAUAAACUAUAACUCGAAGUUUAAUGCAAAACUUUCUUUUAAAACCAGAAAUCAGGAAAAGAAGCAAGGGUAAAAGAUAUUUGUUCCAAUAGCCUUUUCAGUUUUUCUCUUCAAAAAAAUGAAAUGAACUCCAACCAAAGAUGAGCUCAAAAUAUUUAUUUUGUAUAUUCUUCUAGAAAAAAUAAAGCAGACCAAAAGAAAUGGCUUGAAGAAAAUAAUAACUUCAAACCCUAGAAACUCGACUCAAAUUUUUUUGAAGAUAUUUUCAAUUGUUUUUUGAUUUUUCUUCUAACCUAGCACAUAGAACUUACCUCAUAUAUAUAGCCUUCAAAAAUCUCGAACCUCUGCCCAAAAUUCAAAAAACCUUCAAAUUUUUGAACAAUUUUUGGGACACAUAGAUGGCGUGGAUCGAUUUACAUCUAUCGUCGGCUCCCAUUCAUCCAACAAAUCGUUCCUAUAGUACAGAUGUCGUGCGAUUUUGAGGGAAUAUUCGUAUUCCUUCUGACAAAAACCGUUGGGAAUCAAAUGACGUGGAGGAGGGAACCAUUUUGAGUGAACUCGGGUGAGUUAUGGCGAGUUGAAGGCUGAGGAAGACGAUGAAUAGCCCCCCAGCGCCGUUUCUGAUUUCUCUAGGGUUUGGGGAAUUUGGGGGAAAUGUGAUAAAUGGCACGGACGGGUCGGGUUGGCGGGUUAGACCGAUUUGUUUGGGAUUGGGGAGGUGAUGGUUUGGUCUAGGGAAUUAAUUGUGUAGGGG
rnacentral:lncRNA from 1 species